ACCGAAAGUGUCAGGUGCUGCAGACCUUCAACCACUGAUGCAGUUUUCAACAUUUGACAAGCAGCAGUUGAUUCUGCCAGCCGAAAGCAGACGUCCCUCACUCACUGUAGCUGAAGAGCCAAAGAUAAAUGAAAGUGAUCCAAACGAGAACUUCACAUUUGCUGAUACCAUUUCUUAGUCACAUCUGCAAGUCUGUCAGUCAGUCUCAUUCUUGUUGAGUCAGCAAGUUUGCGGAACAUGCAUGGAUUCUCAGAAAACUUGGGACUGAUUUUUAUCAUUACAGAGGGACAGAUUUCAGCAUUUUCCCUGAGGGUUGUCGGACUGAGAAGUAUCCCGAUCCUGUUCCAGCAGACACCGUCAAUUUUAACAAAUACAGACCUGCCAGGCAACAGCCAAAACGUCAUAUGGCUACAGACCCACUGAAGAAAAGAAGACUUUUAUCUGAAAUUGUUGCUAGAACCAAAUUUAUCAAACAUCGAAUGGAUCUGCAGAAAUACCAACAUCGGAGCCAGCUUCAAGCAGUAUAGAUACAUCAAAAGAGCUGUCUUCACUGGAUGUGCUGGCCUUAGUGGCAGAAAAUAAAAUUCUACAGCAGCAGUUAGCCAAGCAUGUGCUGAACAGUCAGAUAAAAGUUAACUUUAGAUAUUAUACAGGAUUUUUGUUUGUACAGUUCAUAAAUAUUUUCAAGUUUUUGGUGCCUUAGGAAUAUGCACGACCAUUCAGUAUCAAGCAACAGUGAUAACAUUAAAGGGACUUGUGGGAAUAAGCCUCAGAAUAUCAUUUACCUUCAUAUCCAUGCUUUUCUCUGGAUCAGUCUCAGAUAAGGAUAUUACAGCUUCAAGUGGAUUACUAGCUUUACUUCAGCAUUUAAUGAUAGCGGAAAAUGGAAAAGGGUUUCAUAUUCAGGAUGGAAUAAAAAAAACAAAACAACCUUACAUUCCACCUUUUGCAUCAGCCACAUCACAAAUCGAGCUGUAUAUUGAAAUAGAAGCAGGAGUUUCAUUCUAUGCCCUUGAAAUCUCAACUGCAGAUGUAGCUCUUAUCUAAUACAAGACUAUCCUGGUAAGCUAAAGCACUGCCAAUAUUUUGGGCACCAUGCUCGGUCAUGACAGUUAGGUUUGGUAGAGAAGCCAAAUAUUCAAUUGGGGUAGACUUAAACCCUUGAAGAUGCUGUAUGAAGAUAGCUGUACUUUUAGGAAACAAGAUCACUAUAUUGUAAACCUUUACAUACUAAAAUAGACAUUACAAUUUAAUUGAAACAAAUGACUAUUUUUAGCAUUUAACAAGAUAGAAAAAUGUUUUGUUUCUGUAAUGUCCAUUUUUUUUUGUGUAUGCUUCAUCAAAUAGAAUAAAACAUUUUUCAGUUAAAUUACAUUUUACAUAUAUUUGCAACUUCCUUGCAGUUAAGCAACCAACCCUCAUAGGAAAAAAGAAACCUGAAAACAAUACAAGUUGAAUAAUAUACAUUAAGUUUUACAGAAUGGCUAGUCAGUUUAGUAGCCAAAAGUAUCACUGGAGCACUGGAGGGCCAAUUGUAUACGUACACUUAUUGAACAGCUUGCUGGUCAAUAGGCAAAACUAUUGACAUCAGGAAGUCUGUCUCCCCCACCACAUUCACCCCCACUCGGGGAAACAUACUGUUUUUGCCCUGUCAGUCUGUCUGAAAUCUUAUCUUUGACAUGGUGUAGGGUAUUUAAACAUAACAUGAUAGAAGACUUAAAUGUUAACUGCUGUAGUUGGCACUUCUAUUAGCUCACCUGAGCCAAAGACUCAAAGUGAGCUUUUGUGACUGUCGUGCGUUGUCCGUGUGUCAACA